UGUGAGGUCGAUGAGUAGGGCGGUACACGUGAUAUCCUGUCUGAAGAUGGGGGGACCAGCCUCCAAGGCUAAAUACUCCUGACUGACCGAUAGUGAACGAGUACCGUGAGGGAAAGGCGAAAAGAGCCCCUGCGAGGGGAGUGAAACAGAACCUGAACCCGUGUACGUACAAGCAGUGGGAGCCUUCGUAAGAGUGUGAAUGCGUACCUUUUGUAUAGUGGGUCAGCGACUUAUAGUCUGUAGCAA
rnacentral:rRNA from 1 species